rnacentral:rRNA from 1 species
AACGAACGCUGGCGGCAUGCCUAACACAUGCAAGUCGAACGAGACCUUCGGGUCUAGUGGCGCACGGGUGCGUAACGCGUGGGAACCUGCCCUUAGGUUCGGAAUAACUCCCCGAAAGGGGUGCUAAUACCGGAUAAUGUCUUCGGACCAAAGAGUUAUCGCCUUUGGAUGGGCCCGCGUUGGUUUAGCUAGUUGGUAGGGUAAAAGCCUACCAAGGCGACGAUCCAUAGCUGGUCUGAGAGGAUGAUCAGCCACACUGGGACUGAGACACGGCCCAGACUCCUACGGGAGGCAGCAGUGGGGAAUAUUGGACAAUGGGCGAAAGCCUGAUCCAGCAAUGCCGCGUGAGUGAUGAAGGCCUUAGGGUUGUAAAGCUCUUUUACCCGGGAUGAUAAUGACAGUACCGGGAGAAUAAGCUCCGGCUAACUCCGUG